rnacentral:rRNA from 1 species
GACGAACGCUGGCGGCGUGCUUAACACAUGCAAGUCGAACGGUAAGGCCCUUCGGGGUACACGAGUGGCGAACGGGUGAGUAACACGUGGGUGAUCUGCCCUGCACUUCGGGAUAAGCCUGGGAAACUGGGUCUAAUACCGGAUAGGACCACUGCCUGCAUGGGUGGUGGUGGAAAGCUUUUGCGGUGUGGGAUGGGCCCGCGGCCUAUCAGCUUGUUGGUGGGGUAAUGGCCUACCAAGGCGACGACGGGUAGCCGGCCUGAGAGGGUGACCGGCCACACUGGGACUGAGCUACGGCCCAGACUCCUACGGGAGGCAGCAGUGGGGAAUAUUGCACAAUGGGCGCAAGCCUGAUGCAGCGACGCCGCGUGAGGGAUGACGGCCUUCGGGUUGUAAACCUCUUUCAGUAGGGACGAAGCGCAAGUGACGGUACCUACAGAAGAAGGACCGGCCAACUACGUGCCAGCAGCCGCAGUAA